GAACAUCAAAAUAUUCAAAAUGAGUGAAGUCAAAUGGGUUUAUGAAAGAAAUCAGCUGCCUAUUGCCAGUGCAAUAAUAAUAAUCUCUUCUUUUCUGCCUUGUUGACAGAUCGGGAGAACCAGUCCAUCCUGAUCACCGGAGAAUCCGGGGCCGGGAAGACUGUGAACACCAAGCGUGUCAUCCAGUACUUUGCAACAAUUGCAGCCAGUGGGGACAAGAAGAAGGAGGAGAAAUCAUCAGGCAAAAUGCAGGGAACGCUUGAGGAUCAAA